CGCGAAGAACCUUACCUGGUCUUGACAUCCCUCUGACCGCUCUAGAGAUAGGGCUUUCCUUCGGGACAGAGGUGACAGGUGGUGCAUGGUUGUCGUCAGCUCGUGUCGUGAGAUGUUGGGUUAAGUCCCGCAACGAGCGCAACCCCUAUUGUUAGUUGCCAUCAUUCAGUUGGGCACUCUAGCGAGACUGCCGGUAAUAAACCGGAGGAAGGUGGGGAUGACGUCAAAUCAUCAUGCCCCUUAUGACCUGGGCUACACACGUGCUACAAUGGCUGGUACAACGAGUCGCAAGCCGGUGACGGCAAGCUAAUCUCUUAAAGCCAGUCUCAGUUCGGAUUGUAGGCUGCAACUCGCCUACAUGAAGUCGGAAUCGCUAGUAAUCGCGGAUCAGCACGCCGCGGUGAAUACGUUCCCGGGCCUUGUACACACCGCCCGUC
rnacentral:rRNA from 1 species